GCUGGCGUAGCUCAAUGGUAGAGCAGCUGAUUUGUAAUCAGCGGGAUGGAGGUUCGAUUCCUCUCAUCGGCUCCA
rnacentral:tRNA from 1 species